UAAUACGGAGGGUGCAAGCGUUAAUCGGAAUUACUGGGCGUAAAGCGUGCGUAGGCGGAUGCUUAAGUCUGAUGUGAAAUCCCCGGGCUUAACCUGGGAACUGCAUUGGAUACUGGGCGUCUAGAGUAUGGUAGAGGGUGGCGGAAUUUCUGGUGUAGCGGUGAAAUGCGUAGAUAUCAGAAAGAACACCAAUGGCGAAGGCAGCCACCUGGGCCAAUACUGACGCUGAGGUACGAAAGCGUGGGGAGCAAACAGG
rnacentral:rRNA from 1 species